AAUUGGAAAUUCGCACGCUAACUUUUGGCUACCCCUUAAAGGCGUAAAAUUGACCCGUUAUUGAGAACCCCCAUGAUCUGUCAAAUAACGGGUCAUUAUAUCGGAUCAAUAUUACCCCUUAUUUUGAAAGGCUCGAUUCCCUUCAAAAAGGGCAGUUUUAGAAGCGUUACAUUAAAAGCGUUGAAUUCGGCAUGAUGAGAGAUGUUGUGCACAGCAAAGUUCCGGACGAGCCAGGCAGACACAAAUAGAAUUUAACAGGAAAACACGCACCGAGGCGAUAUAAAAUUGAAGGAUGCAUCGUAAGAUAAAUUUAAUAUUCAAGCAGGGAAAUCGAGUAUUUCAAUCAUCUGUAAUUUAAAAAAAUUUAUUUAAGUGAAUCCAAAUUUCAAAAAAAUUAGCAUCU